AGACUUACCUGCCAGGGGAAGUACCACCAUUACAAAGUUGGUUUUGCCAGAGUGAGGCUUAUCCAUUGCACACCAGGUGUGCUGACCCCUGGGAUUUCCCCAAAUGUGGGAAUCUGCAUAGUUUUGUGGUAAUGGGUAAUGCAUUUGUGCUCUCCCCUG